rnacentral:rRNA from 1 species
CCUACGGGAGGCAGCAGUGAGGAAUAUUGGUCAAUGGACGAGAGUCUGAACCAGCCAAGUAGCGUGAAGGAUGACUGCCCUAUGGGUUGUAAACUUCUUUUAUAUGGGAAUAAAAUGUUCCACGUGUGGGAUUUUGUAUGUACCAUAUGAAUAAGGAUCGGCUAACUCCGUGCCAGCAGCCGCGGUAAUACGGAGGAUCCGAGCCUUAUCCGGAUUUAUUGGGUUUAAAGGGAGCGUAGGUGGAUUGUUAAGUCAGUUGUGAAAGUUUGCGGCUCAACCGUAAAAUUGCAGUUGAAACUGGCAGUCUUGAGUACAGUAGAGGUGGGCGGAAUUCGUGGUGUAGCGGUGAAAUGCUUAGAUAUCACGAAGAACUCCGAUUGCGAAGGCAGUUCACUGGACUGCAACUGACACUGAGGCUCGAAAGUGUGGGUAUCAAACAGGAUUAGAUACCCCUGUAGUC